UGGGGAAUAUUGCGCAAUGGACGAAAGUCUGACGCAGCGACGCCGCGUGAGGGACGAAGGUCUUCGGAUCGUAAACCUCUGUCAGAAGGGAAGAAGUGUAGUGGGAGUAACUGUCUGCUACUUGACGGUACCUUCAGAGGAAGCACCGGCUAACUCCGUGCCAGCAGCCGCGGUAAUACGGAGGGUGCGAGCGUUAAUCGGAAUUACUGGGCGUAAAGCGCGCGUAGGCGGCUUUGUAAGUCAGGGGUGAAAUCCCACGGCUCAACCGUGGCAUUGCCUUUGAUACUGCAGAGCUUGAGUUCGGGAGAGGGUGGUGGAAUUCCAGGUGUAGGAGUGAAAUCCGUAGAGAUCUGGAGGAACAUCAGUGGCGAAGGCGACCACCUGGCCCGAUACUGACGCUGAGGUGCGAAAGCGUGGGUAGCAAACA
rnacentral:rRNA from 1 species